AGAAUCAACGCUGGCGGCGUGCCUAACACAUGCAAGUCGAACGAGAAAGUGGAGCAAUCCACAAGUAAAGUGGCGCACGGGUGAGUAACACGUGACUAACCUACCCUUGAGUGGGGGAUAACCUAGAGAAAUCUGGGCUAAUACCGCAUAAUACCUUCGAGUCAAAGGAGCAAUUCGCUUAAGGAGGGGGUCGCGGCCGAUUAGUUAGUUGGCGGGGUAAUGGCCCACCAAGACUAUGAUCGGUAUCCGGCCUGAGAGGGCGCACGGACACACUGGAACUGAAACACGGUCCAGACUCCUACGGGAGGCAGCAGUGGGGAAUUUUGCGCAAUGGGGGAAACCCUGACGCAGCAACGCCGCGUGGAGGAUGAAGCCCCUUGGGGCGUAAACUCCUUUCGAUCGGGACGAUAAUGACGGUACCGAGAGAAGAAGCCCCGGCUAACUUCGUGCCAGCAGCCGC
rnacentral:rRNA from 1 species